GAUGAACGCUGGCGGCGUGCCUAAUACAUGCAAGUCGAGCGAACGGACGAGAAGCUUGCUUCUCUGAUGUUAGCGGCGGACGGGUGAGUAACACGUGGAUAACCUACCUAUAAGACUGGGAUAACUUCGGGAAACCGGAGCUAAUACCGGAUAAUGUUUUGAACCGCAUGGUUCAAAAGUGAAAGACGGUCUUGCUGUCACUUAUAGAUGGAUCCGCGCUGCAUUAGCUAGUUGGUAAGGUAACGGCUUACCAAGGCAACGAUGCAUAGCCGACCUGAGAGGGUGAUCGGCCACACUGGAACUGAGACACGGUCCAGACUCCUACGGGAGGCAGCAGUAGGGAAUCUUCCGCAAUGGGCGAAAGCCUGACGGAGCAACGCCGCGUGAGUGAUGAAGGUCUUCGGAUCGUAAAACUCUAUUAUUAGGGAAGAACAUAUGUGUAAGUAACUGUGCACAUCUUGACGGUACCUAAUCAGAAAGCCACGGCUAACUACGUG
rnacentral:rRNA from 1 species